UACCGUGAAAAAAUUAGAGUGUUCAAAGCAGGCAGAUCCAAUUUUCUGCCACCGAAUACAUUAGCAUGGGAUAAUGGAAUAGGACCCUGUCCUCCUAUUUUCAGUUGGUUUGCCGCGAGGACCAGGGUAAUGAUUAAUAGGGAUAGUUGGGGGCAUUAAUAUUUAAUUGUCAGAGGUGAAAUUCUUGGAUUUAUGAAAGAUUAACUUCUGCGAAAGCAUCUGCCAAGGAUGUUUUCAUUAAUCAAGAACGAAAGUUAGGGGAUCGAAGACGAUCAGAUACCGUCGUAGUCUUAACCAUAAACGAUGCCGACCAGCGAUUAGGAGACGUUGAAUACAAAACACCACCAUGCGCAUUGCGGUCGUCUUUGGUGUCGCUCACAAGGCGGCACCGGGGCGGCUUAGCUCGCAUGGCACCGGUGAAUGACUCCC
rnacentral:rRNA from 1 species